rnacentral:rRNA from 1 species
CAGCCGCCACGGUAAUACGGAGGGGGCUAGCGUUGUUCGGAAUUACUGGGCGUAAAGCACACGUAGGCGGCUUGGUAAGUUAGAGGUGAAAGCCUGGAGCUCAACUCCAGAAUUGCCUUUAAGACUGCCGAGCUAGCAGGUGAGAGAGGUAAGUGGAAUUCCGAGUGUAGAGGUGAAAUUCGUAGAUAUUCGGAAGAACACCAGUGGCGAAGGCGGCUUACUGGCUCAUACUGGACGCUGAGGUGCGAGAGCGUGGGGAGCAAACAGGAUUAGAUACCCGUGUAGUCCCUGUCUCUUAUAC